rnacentral:rRNA from 1 species
AGAGUUUGAUCAUGGCUCAGGAUGAACGCUGGCGGCGUGCCUAAGACAUGCAAGUCGAGUGGGUUUAGGCCCACGGCGAACGGGUGAGUACAAUCUCGGAACUUUACUUAAGUUGAGGAUAUCCUCCCGAAAGGGAGUGCAAUACUCAAUGUGGCCGCAAGGCUAAAGAUUUAUCGCUUAAGUUGAGGCCGGGACACCAUCAGCUAGUUGGUAGGGUAAAGGCCUACCAAGGCUAUGACGGUUAGGGGCCCCGAGAGGGGAGACCCCCACACUGGGACUGCGACACGGCCCAGACUCCUACGGGAGGCAGCAGUUUGGAAUUUUGGACAAUGGACGAAAGUCUGAUCCAGCGACGCCGCGUGCACGAAGAAGGCCUUCGGGUUGUAAAGUGCUUUUGCUUGGGAAAAAUUUUGAUUGUACCAAGAGAAUAAGAGGUUGCUAACUCUGUGCCAGCCGCCGCGGUAA